rnacentral:rRNA from 1 species
UAGGGAAUUUUCCACAAUGGGGGCAACCCUGAUGGAGCAACGCCGCGUGCAGGAUGAAGGCCUUCGGGUCGUAAACUGCUUUUAUGUACGAAGAAUAUGACGGUAAUACAUGAAUAAGGAUCGGCUAACUCCGUGCCAGCAGCCGCGGUCAUACGGAGGAUCCAAGCGUUAUCCGGAAUUACUGGGCGUAAAGAGUUGCGUAGGUGGCAGAGUAAGCGAAAUAUGAAAUCUUGUGGCUCAACCAUGAGACUAUGUUUUGAACUGCUCAGCUUGAGAAUGAGAGAGGUACCUGGAAUUUCUAGUGUAGGAGUGAAAUCCGUAGAUAUUAGAAGGAACACCGAUGGCGUAGGCAGGGUACUGGCUCAUUUCUGACACUAAGGCACGAAAGCGUGGGGAGCAAAUGGGAUUAGAUACCCCGGUAGUCC